AAAAAAUUUAUUAUAAAUUUAUUUUACAUAUAAAUUCUAGUAUUUAAUAAUUAUUAUUUUAAUAAUAGUAAUAAUAUACUUGUAGUAAUUAAUAUUAAAUAUUUAAGAAAUUAAGAUUUAGUAAUAUAAAAAUUAUUAACAAAUUUUGUGCCAGCAGUUGCGGUUAAACAAAAGUUAAAUUAAAUUUUGUUAGUUAAUUAAUAAUUAAUUUAUUUAAUAUAAUUAAAAAUUAAUAUUAUUAGGUGAAAUUUUAAUUUUAUAUUUAUUUAUUUAAUAUAAUUUAUGAUUUGAUAAAUUUUAAUAUUAAACUAGGAUUAGAUACCCUAUUAUUUAAAAUUUAAAUUUAAAAUACUAAAAUAGUAUAUAAUUAUUUAUUGAAACUUAAAUAUUUUGGCGGUAUUUUAGUUUAUUUAGAGGAAUCUGUUUAUUAAUUGAUAAUCCACGAAUAAAUUUACUUAAUUUAGUAUUUUGUAUAUCGUUGUUAAAAAAAUAUUUUUUAAUAAUUAUAAUAUUUUGAAAUUAAUAAUAAAAUUUAAAUCAAAUCAAGAUGCAGAUUAUAAUUAAGAAUAUAAUGGAUUACAAUAAAAUUAUUUAAAUGAAUUUUAAUUUGUAAUAAUUAAAUGAAGGUGGAUUUAAAUGUAAUUUUUUUUUAUUUUAUAAAAAUGAUUUAUAAUUAAAAUAUGUACAUAUUGCCCGUCGCUUUCAUAAAUAAAUUGAAAUAAGUCGUAACAAAGUAGAGGUACUGGAAAGUGUUUCUAGAAAGAA
rnacentral:ncRNA from 1 species